AGUGGACAAUAACAAUGAUGGAAAGAAUCUAAUUUAGCUUGAGUACUUGGAAGCAAACUGAAGAUACAUUUCAUUCAGCAUAUUAAAACUCUGUAAUCAUUUGAAAUAAAAUCAGCAUGCCAAA